rnacentral:rRNA from 1 species
GCAUGGCGGCGUGCUAUACAUGCAAGUCGAGCGCGGGAAGCAAGCUGAUCCUCUUCGGAGGUGACGCUUGUGGAACGAGCGGCGGACGGGUGAGUAACACGUGGGCAACCUGCCUGUAAGACUGGGAUAACCCCGGGAAACCGGGGCUAAUACCGGAUAAUACUUUUCAUCACCUGAUGNNAAGUUGAAAGGUGGCUUUUAGCUACCACUUACAGAUGGGCCCGCGGCGCAUUAGCUAGUUGGUGAGGUAACGGCUCACCAAGGCAACGAUGCGUAGCCGACCUGAGAGGGUGAUCGGCCACACUGGGACUGAGACACGGCCCAGACUCCUACGGGAGGCAGCAGUAGGGAAUCUUCCGCAAUGGACGAAAGUCUGACGGAGCAACGCCGCGUGAGUGAUGAAGGUUUUCGGAUCGUAAAGCUCUGUUGUUAGGGAAGAACAAGUGCCGUUCGAAUAGGGCGGCACCUUGACGGUACCUAACCAGAAAGCCCCGGCUAACUACGUGCCAGCAGCCGCGGUAAUACGUAGGGGGCAAGCGUUGUCCGGAAUUAUUGGGCGUAAAGCGCGCGCAGGCGGUCCUUUAAGUCUGAUGUGAAAGCCCACGGCUCAACCGUGGAGGGUCAUUGGAAACUGGAGGACUUGAGUACAGAAGAGGAGAGUGGAAUUCCACGUGUAGCGGUGAAAUGCGUAGAGAUGUGGAGGAACACCAGUGGCGAAGGCGACUCUCUGGUCUGUAACUGACGCUGAGGCGCGAAAGCGUGGGGAGCGAACAGGAUUAGAUACCCUGGUAGUCCACGCCGUAAACGAUGAGUGCUAGGUGUUAGGGGGUUUCCGCCCCUUAGUGCUGAAGUUAACGCAUUAAGCACUCCGCCUGGGGAGUACGGCCGCAAGGCUGAAACUCAAAAGAAUUGACGGGGGCCCGCACAAGCGGUGGGAGCAUGUGGUUUAAUUCGACGCAACGCGAAGAACCUUACCAGGUCUUGACAUCCUCUGCAAUCGGUAGAGAUACCGAGUUCCCUUCGGGGACAGAGUGACAGGUGGUGCAUGGUUGUCGUCAGCUCGUGUCGUGAGAAUGUUGGGUUAAGUCCCGCAACGAGCGCAACCCUUGAUCUUAGUUGCCAGCAUUUAGUUGGGCACUCUAAGNGUGACUGCCGGUGACAAACCGGAGGAAGGUGGGGAUGACGUCAAAUCAUCAUGCCCCUUAUGACCUGGGCUACACACGUGCUACAAUGGAUGGAACAAAGGGAAGCAAAACCGCGAGGUCAAGCAAAUCCCAUAAAACCAUUCUCAGUUCGGAUUGCAGGCUGCAACUCGCCUGCAUGAAGCCGGAAUCGCUAGUAAUCGCGGAUCAGCAUGCCGCGGUGAAUACGUUCCCGGGCCUUGUACACACCGCCCGUCACACCACGAGAGUUGGUAACACCCGAAGUCGGUGAGGUAACCUUUGGAGCCAGCCGCCGAAUGGUGACCAA